rnacentral:rRNA from 1 species
UACGUAGGGGGGCUAGCGUUAUCCGGAAUUACUGGGCGUAAAGGGUGCGUAGGUGGUUUCUUAAGUCAGAGGUGAAAGGCUACGGCUCAACCGUAGUAAGCCUUUGAAACUGAGAAACUUGAGUGCAGGAGAGGAGAGUAGAAUUCCUAGUGUAGCGGUGAAAUGCGUAGAUAUUAGGAGGAAUACCAGUUGCGAAGGCGGCUUCCUGGUCUGUAACUGACACUGAGGCGCGAAAGCGUGGGGAGCAAACAGG